CGAACGCUGGCGGCGUGCCUAAUACAUGCAAGUAGAACGCUGAAGAGAGGAGCUUGCUCUUCUUGGAUGAGUUGCGAACGGGUGAGUAACGCGUAGGUAACCUGCCUGGUAGCGGGGGAUAACUAUUGGAAACGAUAGCUAAUACCGCAUGAAAUUGAAUAUCGCAUGAUACUUAAUUGAAAGAUGCAACUGCAUCACUACCAGAUGGACCUGCGUUGUAUUAGCUAGUUGGUGAGGUAACGGCUCACCAAGGCGACGAUACAUAGCCGACCUGAGAGGGUGAUCGGCCACACUGGGACUGAGACACGGCCCAGACUCCUACGGGAGGCAGCAGUAGGGAAUCUUCGGCAAUGGGGGGAACCCUGACCGAGCAACGCCGCGUGAGUGAAGAAGGUUUUCGGAUCGUAAAGCUCUGUUGUAAGAGAAGAACGGGUGUGAGAGUGGAAAGUUCACACUGUGACGGUAUCUUACCAGAAAGGGACGGCUAACUAC
rnacentral:rRNA from 1 species